rnacentral:pre_miRNA from 1 species
UCUUUGGCAUUCUGUCCACCUCCUUCUAUACAUAUCUGCAUGUGUGUGGAAGAAGGAGGUGGGUAUACUGCCAAUAGA